GUGGACGCCAGUCUGCAUGGAGCCGACCUUGAAAUACCACCCUUUAAUGUUUGAUGUUCUAACGUGGACCCGUGAUCCGGGUUGCGGACAGUGUCUGGUGGGUAGUUUGACUGGGGCGGUCUCCUCCUAAAGAGUAACGGAGGAGCACGAAGGUUGGCUAAUCCUGGUCGGACAUCAGGAGGUUAGUGCAAUGGCAUAAGCCAGCUUGACUGCGAGCGUGACGGCGCGAGCAGGUGCGAAAGCAGGUCAUAGUGAUCCGGUGGUUCUGAAUGGAAGGGCCAUCGCUCAACGGAUAAAAGGUACUCCGGGGAUAACAGGCUGAUACCGCCCAAGAGUUCAUAUCGACGGCGGUGUUUGGCACCUCGAUGUCGGCUCAUCACAUCCUGGGGCUGAAGUAGGUCCCAAGGGUAUGGCUGUUCGCCAUUUAAAGUGGUACGCGAGCUGGGUUUAGAACGUCGUGAGACAGUUCGGUCCCUAUCUGCCGUGGGCGCUGGAGAACUGAGGGGGGCUGCUCCUAGUACGAGAGGACCGGAGUGGACGCAUCACUGGUGUUCGGGUUGUCAUGCCAAUGGCACUGCCCGGUAGCUAAAUGCGGAAGAGAUAAGUGCUGAAAGCAUCUAAGCACGAAACUUGCCCCGAGAU
rnacentral:rRNA from 1 species